AUGGAGCACAGGCUGUGCUGUCACGUCCUCGAGAUUCCCAAAUCUAUUCUGAGCAACUCGUUUGAGAGUCUGUCAGCGACGACUAAUGACCAUCAGGACCUGCAGAGCACGCUGAUGCGUUUGAUGGCCACUAACUCUCGUCUGGAGCAGAAGCUGGACUCGUGUAUGUGGACUCAGAAGGUUCUUCUGGGUCUGGUGUCGUUUCUGUUGGCCCUCC